UUCUGUUAUUAUAUGUUACCUUAUAUAUGUAAUCAAAAUAGUUGAAUUAUGUUAACUGCUGUAGAUCAUAUUAUACCCUUUAACAUAGAGUGUGUGAUCAGUAUGUAGUUUUAGUUUGCAUUAUACUUCUGACUUAAAAGAGUGUGAAAAUCAUUAGAUCUAUUGGUUUGACCUGUAUUACUCGACACUGUUGAAUGUGUUAUACUGUUUCUUGACAUGUCAUACUGCUGAAUCAUGAAGAGAAUGUUGUGUGCAGAGGACCUUGUGCAGAUAAUAGAAGAAACAGACCACAUUCCUUUAAAAGCAGAGAGACAACUGCCGAGGUCAUAACUUAGGCGCUGUAACAGAGAAAGAAUGUGAUGUUUUGGCUUUUACGACUAGAUGGGGGCCACUAGAGACUAUAAAAAGCUGAGCAACCCGUCACCAUUUUGAGACAUGCUGUCGAACCUCUGCAAGCAUCUCUCCCGUCAGGACGUUGUAAUGCUCUGUGUUGAAUUGUAUGGAAAUAAAUGAUUGUUGAUUGAGCAUUUAUACACCGAGUAUUGUCCUUCCUUCAGCCCAAAGAUUCAAAGAAUUGGGAGAUUUCAACAACUUGGUGCCGUGUGACCCGGAUCUUUGGUGUGCUGAGGAGGUGCAGAUUUGGCCUUUUUGGUGAGAUCGUGAGGCGAGGUGAACAGAGGACCGGUCCAAAUAUAAAAAGGCUGCUUUGCCGGCCCUGAAAGCCGAGGCUGACUGGACUCCUGCUCUCCCCCAUACGUGACACUGACCAAAUGCUGCAACAGCUGGACCCACAACAACAACCUGAAAAAGUCAACAGUGCUGCAGGAAUGCGAUCUCAUGCAGCAGAGACGGAGAGCACUAAACCUAAGGCCCGUUUCACUACACGGGGGAAAAUUCCCAGACAGCUUCAGCUGACAGAGCUGUGACGAGACGCCCGCCAAGCCCGAAUGAAAAGUAAGGCCGAGCGAAAGAAUGCUGACCUUGAUAACUUUGCAUUCACACUGUGCAGGACAGUGAUGGACCAACACGGAUGAUCGGGCGGCAAAAAGGGCGUGACCGAGACAGGAGGAGUAACUGAGGUCAGAAGGCACCUCAGAAUGGACAAAAACACAGAAGAAGAUGCAGGUUUCACCUGCGGUGAACAUCGACACUGGAGAAAGGACUGCCCCAAUUGGGGUCAGAACCAGGACGGACAGAACUUUGGGCAACAGCAGCAGCAAUGGUCGCAAACAAACUGAAAAGGAGGGGGGCAGGACCCCAGGGCAUGCUUCAGGCCGUGGUUUACCCAGAACACCAGAACAGGAAAGUGAUGAACACACACACACACACACACACACACACACACACACACACACACACACACACACACACACACACGUCUACAAACACACAGAUUCAGAAUGAAGUGAAAUACACACAUGAACACGUGCACUCGUUGAGUGAGUGAGAAAUGACACACACACACACACACACACACACACACACACACACACGCUGAUGCAAUGAAGAAUGCUUUGCUUAUGCUGAUAUGCAAAAUGCUGCACACAAACAUCCCAAUGCAUAAUUUUUAUGAGGAGCCAUUGAUUACCAUUGAUUACUUAGAAUGUGUUAUAUGUCACCCAGAGGGCAUUUAUGUAGAUUUUAGGAAUAAGGUCUAAAACGGUUUGGUUAUGAAAACAAUGUCUGUGCGUGAUGUCUGUUUAUGGCUCAAGGCCUUGACUGAAUUCUUUGCUGUGCUUCACACAGCCCUGAUGAGGAACAGUGGCACAGAGUGAAAAUGAUGAAUUAAUAGUGUAAGUUUAGGUUGGAGUACGGCAUUUUCUGUGAUUGAGUUUUAAUUCAAGGAGGAACAAAAGGUGUUACGGCACCUGAGGUUCUCAUUCCCACACAAUAUUGUCCCGGCAGGAAGCAAAACGUUCCUGUGAAUUUCUGGUUGAUUUUGGUUUUGCUUAGCGCUAGCUUGAUUUUAUCAGUGAGCUUUGGCUUGUGUUCUUUCUCGUAAGCGAGAGAGGGAUAGUUUUAUGCUUGGACAUGUCUGCAACGGGCCCUAGUUUGUGUUAUUUUAGUAGUAUUUUGUUGGUUAUGUCUGUUUUCGUUUUUGUUACAGUGCACUGAGAUAAAAACAUCUGAGAGGUGUGAUCCACCGGUGGUGAUAUGUUGAUAUUUUGGGAGUUCAUGAUUUAACAAUCAGCUCUUUAAACCAGGCCUGAAAGAUUGAGAUUUAAAGCGCUAUAAAAUAUUAUUACUGUAAACAGUUGCAAAGUGUGCUUCUCCAUGAUUGUAAUUGGCUUGGGAGAAAUUCACUUAUAGGGAACACUGAGAAGUUCUGAGUCUAAAAGGAUUGCACCGAGUCAAUCC